rnacentral:lncRNA from 1 species
CUUCAAACCUGCUUAGAGUAAGGUGCUUCAAAAUUUUACCAUCUACUAUACUAAACUCAUAAAAUAUCAGUAGAAGAACUGUAUCUUAGUCUGCCUACAGUCUUUAUGGCCUAAGAAGAUGCACUGAAAUUCACCAGCAGUGAAACAAAAAAGUGAUUGAUUAGAAGAAUUAGAAGAUUAUGUGACCCAAUGUUGGUUAAUGAGAAAGAAGAGGAAUUCAACAGCGAGGCUUCAGAAUGGUGCUAUAAUCAAGAAGAGAUAUAAAGAAGUAAACCACAUGAUGCUUCCAUUACUAGAACACGGGAACAGCAGCAAGACCUUUGCUUCAGUUUUUUCCAAUUGAUGAUGAAAGAUAUCAAUAUUCCAUCAUAACAAAAGGGCAAAGAAAGGGUAUGUUUCCACCUUCAAUCAGUGUAAAUGUUUAUAUCUGAUUUCACCAAUAUAUUAUUUAGUAUUUCUUUAUCCAUAUUCAUAACUCAUAAGUGAAAUUUGUCCGCAAUUUUUUUUCUUGAUCUAUCUUUGUCAGAUUUUAAUGUCAGAGUCCUAAAUACAUUUGAAAGCUCUAUGUCAUUUUCUAUAUUUUGGAAAACAUUAACGACAUCAGAAUUAUCUGUUCCUAGAGGUUUAAUGGAACUUACCAUCUGGAUAUGAAGACUAUUUUAGGUUUCAGUUUUGUUAAACUUCUUUUUCAUACCACAUUUUAAUAAAAUGUGUAACUCUAUUUGUGCA